CAACUGAAGAGUUUGAUCCUGGCUCAGAGUGAACGCUGGCGGCAUGCCUAACACAUGCAAGUCGAACGGCAGCACAGCAGUAGCAAUACUGUGGGUGGCGAGUGGCGGACGGGUGAGGAAUACAUCGGAAUUUGCCCUGUCGUGGGGGAUAACGUAGGGAAACUUACGCUAAUACCGCAUACGACCUAACGGUGAAAGCGGGGGAUCGCAAGACCUCGCGCGGCUGGAGAAGCCGAUGUCAGAUUAGCUAGUUGGCGGGGUAAAGGCCCACCAAGGCGACGAUCUGUAGCUGGUCUGAGAGGAUGAUCACCCACACUGGGACUGAGACACGGCCCAGACUCCUACGGGAGGCAGCAGUGGGGAAUUUUGGACAAU
rnacentral:rRNA from 1 species